UUAGCAGAGAUGCUUUGGUGCCUUCGGGAACUCUGAGACAGGUGCUGCAUGGCUGUCGUCAGCUCGUGUUGUGAAAUGUUGGGUUAAGUCCCGCAACGAGCGCAACCCUUAUCCUUUGUUGCCAGCGAUUCGGUCGGGAACUCAAAGGAGACUGCCAGUGAUAAACUGGAGGAAGGUGGGGAUGACGUCAAGUCAUCAUGGCCCUUACGAGUAGGGCUACACACGUGCUACAAUGGCAUAUACAAAGAGAAGCGACCUCGCGAGAGCAAGCGGACCUCAUAAAGUAUGUCGUAGUCCGGAUUGGAGUCUGCAACUCGACUCCAUGAAGUCGGAAUCGCUAGUAAUCGUGGAUCAGAAUGCCACGGUGAAUACGUUCCCGGGCCUUGUACACACCGCCCGUCACACCAUGGGAGUGGGUUGCAAAAGAAGUAGGUAGCUUAACCUUCGGGAGGGCGCUUACCACUUUGUGAUUCAUGACUGGGGUGAAGUCGUAACAAGGUAACCGUAGGGGAACCUGCGGUUGGAUCACCUCCUUA
rnacentral:rRNA from 3 species